AAUGAUGACUGUGCUCGCUUUGUACUAAAAUUGGAACGAGACAGAGAAGAUUAGCAUGGCCUAUGCUAAUGACAGGCAA
ensembl:snRNA U6 U6 spliceosomal RNA